rnacentral:rRNA from 1 species
GUUAGCGGCGGACGGGUGAGUAACACGUGGGUAACCUACCUAUAAGACUGGAAUAACUCCGGGAAACCGGGGCUAAUGCCGGAUAAUAUGCAGAACCGCAUGGUUCUGCAAUGAAAGACGGUUUUGCUGUCACUUAUAGAUGGACCCGCGCCGUAUUAGCUAGUUGGUAAGGUAACGGCUUACCAAGGCAACGAUACGUAGCCGACCUGAGAGGGUGAUCGGCCACACUGGAACUGAGACACGGUCCAGACUCCUACGGGAGGCAGCAGUAGGGAAUCUUCCGCAAUGGGCGAAAGCCUGACGGAGCAACGCCGCGUGAGUGAUGAAGGUCUUCGGAUCGUAAAACUCUGUUAUUAGGGAAGAACAAGUGCGUAGGUAACUAUGCGCACCUUGACGGUACCUAAUCAGAAAGCCACGGCUAACUACGUGCCAGCAGCCGCGGUAAUACGUAGGUGGCAAGCGUUAUCCGGAAUUAUUGGGCGUAAAGCGCGCGUAGGCGGUUUUUUAAGUCUGAUGUGAAAGCCCACGGCUCAACCGUGGAGGGUCAUUGGAAACUGGAAAACUUGAGUGCAGAAGAGGAAAGUGGAAUUCCAUGUGUAGCGGUGAAAUGCGCAGAGAUAUGGAGGAACACCAGUGGCGAAGGCGACUUUCUGGUCUGCAACUGACGCUGAUGUGCGAAAGCGUGGGGAUCAAACAGGAUUAGAUACCCUGGUAGUCCACGCCGUAAACGAUGAGUGCU